rnacentral:rRNA from 1 species
UACGAAGGGGACUAGCGUUGUUCGGAAUCACUGGGCGUAAAGCGCACGUAGGCGGAUUUGUAAGUCAGGGGUGAAAUCCCGGGGGCUCAACCUCGGAACUGCCUUUGAUACUGCGAAUCUUGAGUCCGAUAGAGGUGGGUGGAAUUCCUAGUGUAGAGGUGAAAUUCGUAGAUAUUAGGAAGAACACCAGUGGCGAAGGCGGCCCACUGGAUCGGUACUGACGCUGAGGUGCGAAAGCGUGGGGAGCGAACAGG